GCUUUUUAUAUAUCUCCCAGACCCUCUCUCCUGUCUCUCCCUUUUGAGAGAGAGAGAGAGGUAAAGGCAUCAGGCGGGAAACCGCUCGUUUUGGGGCAAAAACCAAACCCUCCUCCUUAAUAAGACCACUAUUCACACACACAGAUCCCUUAUCUCUCCUCGUUCUCUCUCUAAAACCCUACUCUCCCAAUCCUCCAUAAUCAGUAAAUGAGAGAGCGUCGGAGAGAGAGAGACUAAACUCUGAGCUUUCAGCAAGCGGAAAAUUCAUGGCAUUUCCCCGAAAAGACCAAGAAGACGACACCACCAUCGACGUCCACACCGCCGCCGGCGCUCCCAUCCGCUUCGUCCCUCUCGACCACGUCUACUCCGCCACUUCCCCCUGCGCCAGUGGCUCCUCCAACGUCAUGUCCAAGAAGGUCAAGGCUCGCAAGCUCCUGCUCCACGACCGUUUCGCCUCCGAAAGCCCCGCCGCCGAACAAGACGACGAUGGCGAUCGGAAACCGCAGUUGAUUCCUCCCCUCCCUCGCAAGCCUCCAAUUGUCAAUGUCUACUCUCGCCGCUCCAAGAGGCCGCGCCGUUCCUCCGCCAAUUCGCCUUCUUUCUACGAUUCUAUGCUCGCUCGGGCAGAGUCUACCUCCGGUGGUGAUGAUUCCGAGGUCGGGAGGCUGGUGAAGAAGAGGAAGAAGAGUGGGGGGAAAUUGGGGCCUGUCGGCGAGCUGGUGAAAUUGGGUGUUGAUUCCGACGUGUUGUCGGGUUUGGAUAGGCCGAGGUUGAGAGAUUGUCGGAAUUAUAAUUUCGGUGGGAAGAACAAUGGCAAGGGUUUGAAGAGGAAGAAGCGGAGUUCCGAGGAGAAUUGUGAGAAAGCUUUGUCUGAUUCGCCUACUACGAAGAGAUGGGUCAGGUUGAGUUUUAAUGGCGCUGAACCAAACUCAUUCAUCGGGUUACAGUGCAAGGUUUAUUGGCCGCUGGAUGCUGACUGGUAUUCUGGUCAAAUUGUGGAGUAUAAUCCUGAUAGUGAUCAACAUCAUGUUAAAUACAAAGAUGGAGAAGAGGAAAAGUUGAUACUUUCGAAUGAGAGAAUUAAGUUCUAUAUUUCUUGCAAAGAAAUGGAGAGCUUGAACUUGAGUUGCAGUCUUAAUAGUGUGGACAGUGAUUUCUAUGAUUACAAUGAGAUGGUCGUCUUGGCUGCAAGUUUGGAUGACUGUCAGGAAGUUGAGCCUGGGGAUAUUAUAUGGGCCAAGCUUACUGGUCAUGCUAUGUGGCCAGCGAUUGUUGUAGACGAAUCGCUCACUGUUGAUCGUAAAGGCUUAAGCAAAACUGCAGGGGGCAGAUCAGUUCCAGUACAAUUUUUUGGUACCCAUGAUUUUGCAAGGAUAAGAGUGAAACAGGUCAUCUCAUUUCUCAGGGGGCUUCUUUCUUCUUUCCACCUCAAGUGCAAGAAGGCACGUUUUAUUAGAGGCUUGGAAGAAGCAAAAAUGUAUCUGAGUGAGCAAAAGCUUCCAAAAAGAAUGCUACGGUUGCAAAAUGGAAUUAAUGUUGAUGAAGAUGACGACGUAAGCGGAGACGACAAUGGGUAUACAGAUUCAGGUGAAGAUUUUGCAGAAGAUCUGGGGAUUCAGAGAAUUUUGGAGGGCCUCCAAACUUCCCCGUAUGUGAUAGGGGAUUUACAAGUGAUAAGCCUUGGAAAGAUAGUUAAAGACUCGCAAUAUUUUCAGGAUAAUAACUCCAUUUGGCCUGAAGGAUAUACUGCUCUGAGAAAGUUCACUUCAAUAGCAGAUCUAAGUGCGUUUGCAAUGUAUAAGAUGGAAGUGUUAAGAGAUGCUGAAUCACAGAUUAGACCUCUAUUUAGGGUGACACUGGAUGCUGGAGAGCAGUUCAAAGGAUCCACUCCAUCUGCAUGCUGGAAUAAAAUAUAUAAAAGGAUAAGGAAACUGCAAAACAGCUCUGACAGAUCACAUACUGAAGAAAAAUUGGAAGGCAUCUGCAGAUCUGGUUCUGAUAUGUUUGGUUUCUCCAAUCCUGAAGUUGCAAAACUUAUACAGGGAUUGUCGAAAUCCUCGCAUUCUUCAAAAUUUUCCAUGUGCAAGUUAGCCUCUAGAAAAUAUCAAAACCAGGGUGGCUAUAGACCUGUAAGAGUGGACUGGAAAGACCUUGAUAAAUGUAACGUUUGCCACAUGGAUGAGGAGUAUGAAAACAACCUUUUUCUCCAGUGUGACAAGUGCAGAAUGAUGGUGCACGCAAGAUGUUAUGGAGAAGUAGAGCCUUUUGAUGGAGUAUUAUGGUUAUGCAACUUAUGUCGCCCAGGGGCACCCGAGGUUACUCCUCCUUGUUGCCUUUGUCCUGUUACAGGGGGUGCCAUGAAGCCUACCACUGAUGGCCGCUGGGCUCACCUGGCUUGUGCAAUAUGGAUCCCGGAAACUUGCUUAUCUGAUGUCAAGCGCAUGCAACCAAUUGAUGGUAUAAGUAGGAUCAGCAAGGAUCGUUGGAAGCUGUUAUGCAGCAUUUGUGGUGUUGCUUAUGGAGCCUGUAUCCAAUGUUCAAACAACAGUUGUCGUGUGGCAUAUCAUCCACUCUGUGCACGGGCUGCUGAUCUUUGUGUUGAGCUUGAGGAUGAAGACAGACUUCAUCUCCUCUCUUUUGAGGAUGAGGAAGAAGAUCAAUGUAUUCGUCUUCUUUCGUUUUGCAAGAGGCAUAGGCAGCCAUCUAAUGAGCGUUCAGCUGCUGAUGAUCGGAUUCCACAAACUGCACGUCAGUGCUCAGACUUCAUUCCGCCAUCUAAUCCUUCUGGCUGUGCUCGAAGUGAGCCCUACAACUACUUUGGUAGGAGAGGGCGGAAGGAACCUGAAGCUCUAGCUGCUGCAUCCUUGAAGCGCUUGUUUGUAGAAAACCAGCCUUACUUAGUCAGUGGUCAUACUCAGCAUGGUUUUGGCACUUUUAAUGGGGUUGUGGGCUCUAAGUUCUGCUCUAAACUUCUAAGGCUCAAAAUCAGUCAGCUUGAUCCUCCCAAUAAUAUACUUUCCAUGGCUGAGAAAUACAAGUACAUGAGGGAGACCUUCCGCAAGAGACUAGCUUUUGGGAAAUCAGGAAUUCAUGGAUUUGGCAUCUUUGCAAAGCUUCCACAUAGAGCAGGGGACAUGGUGAUUGAAUACACAGGAGAACUUGUUAGACCUCCGAUUGCUGACAGAAGAGAACGGUUUAUAUACAAUUCACUCGUGGGUGCUGGGACUUAUAUGUUUCGAAUUGACGAUGAACGUGUUAUUGAUGCCACAAGGGCCGGAAGCAUUGCUCAUCUAAUCAAUCAUUCUUGUGAACCAAAUUGCUAUUCAAGGGUCAUAAGUGUCAAUGGGGACGAGCACAUUAUCAUUUUUGCAAAAAGAGACAUCAAAAGAUGGGAAGAACUGACAUAUGAUUAUAGAUUUUUCUCAAUUGAUGAACAACUAGCAUGUUAUUGUGGGUUCCCAAGAUGUCGGGGGAUAGUUAAUGACGUUGAAGCCGAAGAGCGGGCGGGAAAGCUAUGUGUACCUCGCAGUGAAUUAAUACAUUGGACUGGGGAAUGAAAGUUAUAAUUUUUCGUUGGCCAUUCUGGAGUAUAUACUCAAUUGGAAGGAAUGUGAGUGUAAGGAUUUAUUCGUAGCUUGUAUCAUUUGCAUUGAAACAGUUGGAUUGUUCAGCUGGCUCAAGAUUAAGAAUUGGACUUCAUCUUGAUGCUUCUUUCAUAGGCCUUUUUAAGAAUUUUAUUGUAAAAAUAUUUCUACUACAAGAACCUGAGAACCUUGCAAAGACGGUUAUUUUUUUGCCAAGAAUUUGUUCGUCACAUACACUAUUUGACCAAGGCUUAUUGAAGUGUAAAGUCCCUGUUCUCUUCUAGGCUGUCGUAUGAAUCAAGUGGUUCAGCUUAUUUUGCUCAAGCUUGUUCCUCUUGAUUUGAGCGUAUUACUUGAGUAUGUGAUCAAAGGAUCAUAGGUAGACAAUCUCUCUUGAUUCUGUAACUUUACGUAUUUGAAGGCACUGUUGUUUAUAUAUUACUUACCCCAUUGUAAGGAAAAAAAAAAAAAGAAUUGCUGUAAAUGAAAGUAAAUUGUCAAUGCAUAUGA